UCCUGCUCAAGGUUUCUGCCUUUUAAAGGAAGGUCUUGAGUCUGGUUCUGCUUGAGGUUUCUACCUGUUAGACGAAGUUCUUGAAUCUGGUUCAGCUUGAUAAUUCUGCCUGUAAAAGAAAACUCCUAAGUCUGGUCCUGCUCAAGGUUUCUGCCUUUUAAAGGAAGUUCUUGAAUCUGGUCCUGCUCAAGGUUUCUGCCUGUUAGACGAAGUUCUUGAAUCUAACACCUGUUGUAUAUUGGUGCUAGAACUUAUGUUAUGCAUAAACUUGCAUAAUUUAGUAUGUAGUUGACUGACAGGUUGGCAGGAUGCAGCCACUUGCAGAAGGUUUGAGGUCCACCUCAGUUUCAAUAUGGCCGCCAUUGUUGGACUGGUGGAUGA